AUUGAACGCUGGCGGCAGGCCUAACACAUGCAAGUCGAGCGGAUGAGAGAAGCUUGCUUCUCGAUUCAGCGGCGGACGGGUGAGUAAUGCCUAGGAAUCUGCCUGGUAGUGGGGGACAACGUUUCGAAGGGAACGCUAAUACCGCAUACGUCCUACGGGAGAAAGCAGGGGACCUUCGGGCCUUGCGCUAUCAGAUGAGCCUAGGUCGGAUUGGCUUGUUGGUGAGGUAAUGGCUCACCAAGGCGACGAUCCGUAACUGGUCUGAGAAGAUGAUCAGUCACACUGGAACUGAGACACGGUCCAGACUCCUACGGGAGGCAGCAGUGGGGAAUAUUGGACAAUGGGCGAAAGCCUGAUCCAGCCAUGCCGCGUGUGUGGAGAAGGUCUUCGGAUUGUAAAGCACUUUAAGUUGGGAGGAAGGGUUGUAGAUUAAUACUCUGCAAUUUUGACGUUACCGACAGAAUAAGCACUGGCUAACUCUGUGCCAGCCGCCGCUGUAACAC
rnacentral:rRNA from 1 species